UUAUCAUUAAACAUGUGGAUGAAAAUCUUAUAUGUACAGUAUGUGAAGUAUAUAUCUUGUAGAGGUAGAAUUUAGAAAGGAAAGUGUGUCUCCACUAUAUUGGGAGUAUUACAAAUGUUAGUUACCUGACUCAGGCCCCGUCUCUGCAGUAGCAAUACUGGUGUCCACUAAAGCUAUUGCUACAUUUUGGGCAUCAGAUUCACUUUCCACUGAUAGAACAGGAAGAGCUUCAGGCAAACCACCAGCUGAAAUGAAAGCAUGACAACAUCAUGUGAGUGGUAGAAGUCAUACCAGAACAAUAUCUAUGGUUAAUGUGGUGGCAUCUACAUAACAUCAAGCCCCUCUCUCAACAACAGCCAAAGGAUUUUAACAAGAUCAAGUAUUUGUAUCAAAGCAAGAGAGGACGGAAAAUGUGCAAAGGAAUCCAUCAUCGGGGUUUACAUGCAGCCUUAGUGACCUCCAUGCUUAGAGAACCAGCAUGCAAUGCACGGACAAGACCUACGUUGCCAAGCAACAGCAGUCAAACGAAGAUGGACACUUCAGAAAAUCAAACAGACAAACCUAGCCUACAAGGUAAUGUUAAGAAAUGUAACUAUUUGCAGUUUCAAAGUUUGC
rnacentral:lncRNA from 1 species